AUUCGACCUGAGCUCAGGCAAGGCUACCCG
rnacentral:rRNA from 17 species